GUACCCGCUGAACUUAAGCAUAUCAAUAAGCGGAGGAAAAGAAACUAACAAGGAUUCCCCUAGUAACGGCGAGUGAAGCGGGAUGAGCUCAAAUUUGAAAUCUCACGGGCUUUGCCUGUGCGAAUUGUAGUUUAGAGAAACGUUUUCGGGUGCGACUUGGGUAUAAGUUCUCUGGAAAGGGGCAACAUAGAGGGUGAGAUUCCCGUUUAUGACCCAAUGUUCGCGCCUAUGUGAUACGUUUUCCAAGAGUCAGGUAGUUUGGGAUUGCUGCCUAAAAUGGGAGGUAAAUACCUUCUAAAGCUAAAUAUUGGCGAGAGACCGAUAGCGAACAAGUACCGUGAGGGAAAGAUGAAAAGAACUUUGAAAAGAGAGUUAAACAGUACGUGAAAUUGCCAAAAGGGAAACGCUUGGAACCAGUAUUGCCUCCAGGUAAUCAACCUCACGUCUCGCAAGAGGUGCGUGUGGUGCACUUGCCUGUGGGCGGGCCAACAUCAGUUUGGCUCGGGGUAAAAAGCCAGGGAAAGGUAGCUCGAACUUGUUCGAGUGUUAUAGUCUCUGGUAAUGCCUUGGGCUGGACUGAGGUCUGCAGCGUUUUUUGGAUACCCGGUUGCCUCUUGAACCUUUUGUCUAGACAGCAUGCUGACUAGAGAAGCGUCUAGGGAGCCCAGCUGGCUGUAUCACACCAACGCUUAGGAUGUUGGCGAAAUGGUUCCAAACGACCCGUCUUGAAACACGGACCAAGGAGUCUAACAUAUAUGCGAGUAUUUGGGUGGCAAACCCUUAUGCGAAAUGAAAGUGAACUUAGGUGGGAUCUUCGGUGCACCAUCGACCGGUCUGGAUUUUUUAUGAUAGAUCUGAGUAAGAGCAUACAUGUUGGGACCCGAAAGAUGGUGAACUAUGCCUGAAUAGGGUGAAGCCAGAGGAAACUCUGGUGGAGGCUCGUAGCGAUUCUGACGUGCAAAUCGAUCGUCAAAUUUGGGUAUAGGGGCGAAAGACUAAUCGAACCAUCUAGUAGCUGGUUCCCUCCGAAGUUUCCCUCAGGAU
rnacentral:rRNA from 1 species